rnacentral:lncRNA from 1 species
CUACCAUUUUCUAGAUGUCAUGGAUGAAUCAACAGCAGGAUGGUCUGAGCUGUGGCCUGGCUGCAGUACCAGAGGCCACCAGCGUGGGGCAGCAGAGCGAGGUGGGGCCAGGAGGCAGCAGUGAGUAGGCCGGGGCUGGAUCU